UUGGUUAACAAACUGAACGCACGUUUUUGCGAUGUGUUCGAUUGGGGCGUCGCGUGCGCAACAUAACAAGCAUGCGUCCCUCGAAGUGCAGCACGUUCGACGCUCGUGCGCGAACAAGGCAUAAAGUUAUUUACCCUUGCAAGCGCACCGUCGCGCAUAACAGUACCUUUUUAAUUUUUAACCU
rnacentral:rRNA from 1 species